CGCGGUCGGUCUGCCGGAUUAUAUCUAACCUCUACCACGAAUCGGUCGGCCAUAUGACCUGUUAGUAAUUUAAUCUAGACUUGUUUACAGGGGCGGAUCCAUAAAUUGCGGUUGGGGGGGACUUUAUCAGGCAGGGAGUCUGGGGGCCGCCUUUAGGCCCCCAGUGGGUCCAGGGGGCGAAGCCCCCGGAAGCUCCUGGAUUUUAUAGGGCUUGAAAUAUGUCUCCUAUUUAGUCAUUUGUACUAUUUUCUAUCAAUUUUUAUGAGGUGAAAUUAAUAAAAUGACGCAAAUAUUAGGGGGUUUUGGAAUUUAUCCGGAAGUGCAAAAAAUUAUUGCUUCUUACAUGUAUAUCGUUUAAUACAUUUUUCUAAACAAGAUACUACGAUUUGCCUUAAAUUUGAAAAAAUUAAAGGGGGCUCGCCCCGGUUGCGCCCCCCCCCCACCUAAAUCCGCCACUGGUUUAUAUUUUAAAACAAAGAAAAACAAUAUAAAGAAUAGAAUGUCUUUCUUUGUUGUUUCAUUGGGUGAUGAAGGUAGCAAUCAUUGCAGAAAAUAAAUUACAGAACCCGCUUACGUGGAUUCAGAUAUUUUUCUGCUACAUUCAUCACCCAAUAAAACCACAAAGAAAGCAUUUUAUUGUUUAAAGAAAUGAUCAUGGAACAGUUGUCAAGAUGCAAGGUAGGAUAGAGGGCCCAAUUUGACCCUCUUAAUCACUUAUAAAGUCAGAGCUACAAAAGGACAAAAUUCGCCGGUAUUUUCAUGAAAAAAUAACUUAAAUUAAAGACCUAAUUUUAUGUUGACACCUCCAAAUGAUAAGCCGUCUGUCAUUCUGCAGAGACUGGAUCCAUAUUUACUAAAGUUCGUAGACGUAAACGUAGGAUUUACGUCUGACUUAAGAUUAGAGUUACGGUCUCGUAAAAUGGUAUUCACAAAACCGUUCGUAGCUGCAAACGUAACUUACGAAUUCUUAAAUGUACGAUUGUACUUACGCGUGCGCAGUGGCUAUUUUCACCUCGAAGCGUAAAAAGUGUGAAUUUGCUCAUCAACUUUGAAUUCCCUUCGCUACCGCCGAAUUAUGACGAAAAAGAACACAGAGCCUUGUGAGAAAGCAACGAAUUUCAACGUACACGUAUGCCUGCCAACGGCAUGUCGAUCAACUGUACCGUUAUUCAGUGUUGUUUACAAAUUCAAAAGGAAGGUUCAUCAAAUUUAACGCAUCUGUGCAUGGAUCUGUGAUGCUGUACGUGUUCAAAAAGAAGUCGACAUGGACUGACAAGUAAGUUAAGUUGUUUGUGUAGAAAUAACCUUUGUUUUACCACUGACUACUCGUCACUAGGCCCCUAAAUAAUGUUAAAUUGACUUCAAGCAGAUUCAGUACAUGACACACAUUUGCUUGAAUUUGCUUGGAUCACAGUCUCUUAUAUAUUAUGUUAUCCACCUAUGUAGCUGCUAUAAUGCUUGGAUCUUAAUUUCUAAAUAGUGAGCACAUAUACAUAAGUGUUAGUUAUUUACAAUUUUAUAUGUACCCACUAUUUUCACAUUAACGCAUUUGUGUACAUGGUUAACUUCCAACUUUUGACAAUACCAUAUUACAUUGAAAUUCAAAAUUAUUUAUCCCAUUGUUUUUUAUUUCAUGACUGGGACAAGAUCAAAGCAGUAGCAUAGCUACCUGUACACAAGUACGCACAUGCUUUCACAUCAUUUUGCAAAAAGAAAAACAACAAUAUUGGUGAAAAAUGAAUCUAAAAAAUAGAUUAUAUAUACAGGCACUAAUUCUAAAAUGUGUGAUUUGUACGUAGCCCUCCAUUGCAUAGUUAUAAAAUAUGAAAAUUAUUAUUGCUUUAACAAUAUAUACUUUGAGCGAACAGGUAGAUAGGGUGAAUGGACUCGGUACCAGAUGAGAACAGUUACAGUCUCUUUUAGCAUCAUUUCAAUUAUUGUUUGUGCACAUCAUGAUCCAUGUGCAAAACUUUCAGAAAAUAUUGUGAAACAAAAUCGCAUUCAAAUACAGUUCUACAACUCUGUGAAGUCAAUGUUGAUUUAUUUGAUUUAGAAUAACUGACUAUAUAUUAAUUGGAGAUAUUAUUAUUAAAGUGUGAUAUACAUGUACCAUGCACUAGAUAUCCAAGCUAGCUGACUUCGUUCAUUUUUCAAAGGGUCAUAAAGGUGGUCAGGAAAUAAAUUGCCAACAGACAUCAGCAUUCCUUGGUUUAGAUGCAUUUCUCUUCAUGUCCUCUCCUGAAAGUUUUUCCAUGAUGUCUCAGGGUUAGGAUUGGGAUGCAGGAUGUACAGAACAUAUAUAUGAUGCAAGAAUAUCCACUGCCAAUGGGUAGAAUGCUGUAAUGGCGUGAAAAAUAUUUUGCGAAACCGAGAAAUGCUCAUCUUCCUUUGCCAUGAUUGUGUGAAAGGACGAGCAGAGGAAUGAUUCAAAAAUAUAUUGCAGGAUUGAGAAUCCAACCCAGGACCCAUUGUCUGGUAGUCUACCCAAUGACCAAUCCAUGCUGAUUGUCCAUCUGCUACAUUGUACAUUGAUCCCAUCUUAUGUAUUUAUUUAUUCAUUUAUUGCAUAUGGACAUUUGACAGUAAAAUAAAAAAAAGUUUGAUAUUCACCAAAAUCGAAUUUGUUACAAUACAUGUUUAAGAAAUUAAGUACAUGUAUUGUUAUGCAUACACUUAUGUACAUAUAAUUAUAUUUGUUAAUAGAUAAGUUUUUAGAUGAAUUUUCAUGUUGUUAUUAUACCCCCCGCAAACGAAGUUUGGGGGAUAUUGGAAUCACUUUGUCUAUUUGUCUGUCCAUCUGUCCGUCCGUUUGUCCGUAGACGCAAUUUGUCCGAAGUUUAUUUCUAAUACCGCUGGACAUAUUUCAUUCAAACUUUAUGCACAUCUUAUAUAUAUUAUGUAGUUGUGCAUCUCCUAUUUUCAUUGAAAUAUUUUAACAUUAUAGAAGUUACGCACAUUUUCUUUUCAUUUUGGGGGUUGCGCACUGUGCUUGCAUUAAAUAUUUCCCAUCAUCUUAUAUGCCCCGCGGGGGUAUUAGUCCCAUUAGGACAGUUCUAGUUGAUAUUGACAUGUACAUGUAUUACUUCCAUUUCUAGAAUGAUUUUAACAUCUUGAUAUUAAAAAGAUGACAAAAUAAAUAAAUCUUAAAUAUUAUUCAACAAAGUUGUCUGGUGGGUUAAAAUUUGUAAAGAGGAUCUUGCUGAAGUCCAGUUUAACAGAGUUAAACAUAUGACAUUGACCUGUCCACAACUCCUAUUCUGUCUUAAUUCAAUUCUUUAAAAAAAGUUUUCUUUUGUAUAUACAUGUAUUAUAAAUUACAUAAUCAGAAAUUAAACAAUAAUUUGCAGAUUGAUUUCUAAAAAUUGUAACUUACUGAAGUAUUAUCAAUGUAUGAUAUAGCUCUACAUUAUAAAAGAAAUUAUUCAUUUAGGCAGUGAAUGAGAGUAAGAUAGAGAGAAAGAGGGAGUGGGUGUAGACUGUGACAGCUACUGCUAUGGAUACAAACACUAUAAUCACAGAAACCCUGCAGACGGCCAUGAGAUACUUCCUGUGUAUAUAUCAAAAGUAUACAUAACAGCUAGUCCGAAAUAUAUGUCGUUUUCCUGGUUUCUUUCUGAUUUUAAUAUUUACCAGGAAAAUAUCACUGUAUAUAUCAAAAUCAAAAAGCAAACAAACAAGAAAACGUUAAAUAUUUCGGACUAACACAACAUCCUGAUCUUUUGGCGAGGUAAAUUCCAGGUAAUUAACAAUCUGACCUUAGAUGAGCUCCGCCCACAUUUAUUGAGUCAUGAAUAAACCCUACGGUAUUGAUUUUGGGUCUUUAACAACCAAAUGUAGCAUUGAUUUUUGUCAAUAUACAUCGUAGUAAAUGUAUUCAUAUGAAAAUGUUAUUUUUGUGACGUCAUAACUGCGUAAUGCAUGUCACAGCACGUGACUUUUCACUUCUUCUUUGAAAACAACAUAUUUUUGAACUUUGAUUCCAAAUUUCAGUUUUGACACAUCAAGCGAACAAAAUAAAUCUUUUGACAGGGGUAGAGAAAUGAAAAAUGCAGAGAAAUGUUGAAUUUACAUUGUUCGAUGUACAUGUAUGUGGACAUGGGGAAAUAUCUUGUUUUAGCUCUUGAAGAAAUAUGAAUUAUGCAUCGACUAAUGCAAAUGGAGAAAUUCUUACCACUUUAUUCUUAAGCUUGAUAUGAGGUGAUCUUGAAGUUAGAAAAAAUCUUUACACUCGUAACUUUAAGGGGAUAUGAUGCUGAGAUGAAAGUGAUUAGAUUUUUCUGAAAAUCAUUUUAUCAUAGAGAGAAGGUCUCUUCUGUUUCAAAAAUGACAAUUUUUAUAUAUGUAAAUGAGUUCGUUUCCAUGGAAACAACCCCUGAACCUAACAAUGUUGAAAAAACACAAAAGGCCAAAAUUUUGCAGUUGUAGAUCCAAAAAUAUGUACAACAAACAAACAGGUUGUAAUAUGGCUAUAUUUAAUGGCCAUCAUACAAACAGUCUAUGUGCAGACACUAUUAUGUGAAAUCUUUUUUCAUGUAACACAAACACAAAUUACCCAAAAUUCAGUCCGAAUUUCCUCAGCGCCUCUAAAAAUAUCUUUUUGAAGAUAGAGUUUUCUAGGGAAAUGGUCAAAAACAUUUACUGAAUGUAAUUAGAUUUUAAUUAUUUUACUAUGAUUUAAAGAUGGCAUCCAUAGCUACAUGACUAACCAAAAAUAUUGGCAUGUCAAUGAAUUGGAUAAAAAGAUAUGAUGAACUGAAGGUCAUCUGAGGUCAUUGAAUAUUGCUACAAAUAAAUCGAACUGAUUUUUUUUUCUUUCUCUAAAACACAUUUUUUUUAAAAACAUCAAACAGAACGUUUAAAUCUUAUGUUCUUAAAAGUGGUUAAUUUCUGGAAAUAUUUUAGUUGGUAUAAUAACGAAUUUAAUUUGGAAAGAAAACAGUCUGAAUUUCCUCUGUCUUUUUUUUGCGUUUUGGGCGUAAAUUGUUCAGACAAACGCCAAAAAAUCAUAUCCGGUAUGAAUGUAUAUAGAAUAUUUGAAAUUUCAUAUAAAGAAUGCAUAAAGGUACCGAACCAAAAAAAAAAAAAAAAAAAAAAAAAACAACAACAACAACCCACUUAAAAUCAUAUCACCGACCAACCUAAAUGUUCUGAUUUCAUUAAAACUUUAAUAAUUUAGUGAAACGUUAACCACAAUAACCAAAUGUUUGGCUCGAAUUGUUUUGAACACAGCCUUAUUUUGCGUUGAAAAAAUAAUUCAAACAAGUAGCAAUCGGACAUCCGAUAUUGAUACCGUAAUUGCGCCUUAGUAUUUAAUAAUUUAAGAUAGUCUUGUGCCAUUAGUUGUAAUUGAAUCAGUGCAUAUAAUUCAUUAUAGUAAAAGUGUAAACUGAAAAGUACAAUAGAAUUGAAAUGAAUCAACGGAUGAUGGACACGUAUCGCAGAUCUACAUUAUGUACCCCUCUAAACUGCAAAUAUUGUUUUAGAUGUAUGUGUAAAUUAUUUGAUUGCUAUUGAUUCUAACUAUUCUAAAGUUUCAACUGAUAUUCUGGUGAAACCUAUUAAUGUUUCGAAAAGGGAGGGGGUGUAACAAGUUGGGCGCACUAAACAUUUUCAUAAAACUAUUAAUGAAAGUUGAAGAAAACAAACAAUGAUCAAUCUCAUAACUCCGAAAUAAAGAGUUGGACAAACACGGAUCCCUGGACAUACCGGAAGUGAGAUCAGACUACUUUAUUAUUGUAAACAUUUAUACAAAAAUUUUAAUCAACUGUUUGGUUUUCUUUCUACGCAAUCUGGGGAGGGGGUGGGCUUGGGUCUAUUUGAAUAUGGAAUUUGCGUACAAAUAUGCCCGUUUCAAAGUAGAGGAGAGGCAGUCUAGAACACUCGUUUAAGUCAAGCCCCCCCCCCCCCCCCCCCCCCCCCCCCCCGAUCUGCAAAUGAAAAUUAAAUGGGUAAAAUACAUGUACUAUGUUAGAUUUAAAGCAUAAAAUAAUUAUUUGAUGAGAGCAGCAACAGGAUGAUAAAGUAAGUUUUGAUUAUGCCUAUUCCGCAUUUCCUCCGUUUUAUGACAUCUAGGUGUUUAAAUACGUAUCGGCCGAUCUAAUUUCAAAUCCAAACAUCUAACACUAUAUAAUUUUGAUUCAAAUAAGCAAUUAAACUUACGUACAUUUCAAUUAUGUUUGCAAAAAAUGCAUGCAUGCACACCUCAUUUGGACUUAAAUAAUAUAAAUCCAUCGGUAAUUAAAUUCCGCCAUGCAUAUGCAGAAAUCAGUGCUAAAUAAUUCGUAGCCUGCUUUGUAUAUCUACUUAUUAUGGUAAAUGAGGUUACAAGUAUCAUAGAUGAACCAAUGAAUUGCAUUAAAUAAUUCACAAGACGCAGACACAGUAUAUACAUGUACCGGUAGAGGUAUACGUGAGCGGUACCACAUGUACCUUUGUGCCCACAAAAUGUUUAGUCCUCGGGUAAAUAUAUUUUUCAAUUAUUUUUAUUAUUUACGAACUCUCGGAAUAUAAUACAAAAUAUUUAUUAUUACUCUAGCAUGAUAAAAAAUUUGUAGAAUUUUUUUAGCCCUAAGUUUACUGUCGUUCAAUUUGGGUAUAUGUGCUUUUAAAAUUGUGCAGAGAUUCUGUUCGACGUGUUACGACUCCGUCUUUCAUUUCUAUUUUGAACAGAAUACACAGGUCUAGAAAUACAUAAUAACAUGCGAUACCGUGACAUCUGUCAAACUCUGUCUGUUGUCAACGUAAACAACGUAAACAUGGCGUCAAAAAUCACGCGCUUAUGUCGUUACCUCAUAUUUCCUAAAAACACGUCAUAACGGCAUUCAUACAAAAUUAUUCAAUCAAAAUAAGGCCCCAGCUGUUAUGAUUUAUGCUUUUGUAUUUCGAAAAUAUGACUUUAGUCAAAGUCAUAAUCAAUAUAUGUCACGACAAUCAUGACCUACGUACGUUAGUUCGAGUUGCGCAGUGACUUCAAAAACGUCACAAUCAUAUCCCCUUAAAAAAUGUA